rnacentral:tRNA from 1 species
GAGGGUGUAGCUCCGUGGCAGAGCACAUGCCUAGCAAGCACAAGGUCCUGGGUUCAGUCCCCAGUAUCUUCA